CGGAGGCAGCAGUGAGGAAUAUUGGACAAUGGGCGCAAGCCUGAUCCAGCAAUGCCGCGUGAGUGAGGAAGGCCUUAGGGUUGUAAAGCUCUUUCGCACGCGACGAUGAUGACGGUAGCGUGAGAAGAAGCCCCGGCUAACUUCGUGCCAGCAGCCGCGGUAAUACGAAGGGGGCGAGCGUUGUUCGGAUUUACUGGGCGUAAAGGGCGCGCAGGCGGCUAUUUUUGUCAGGCGUGAAAGCCCCGGGCUUAACCUGGGAACAGCGCUUGAGACGGGAUAGCUAGAGAUCGGGAGAGGAGAGUGGAAUUCCCAGUGUAGAGGUGAAAUUCGUAGAUAUUGGGAAGAACACCGGUGGCGAAGGCGGCUCUCUGGACCGAUACUGACGCUGAGGCGCGAAAGCGUGGGGAGCAAACAGGAUUAGAAACCCCAGUAGUCCC
rnacentral:rRNA from 1 species